CGAAAGAAAGUAAGCAGCCAAGCCCCGAACACCUCGUCCCUCGCACCCAGCCCUCCCUCCCUGCGCCGCCGCUACCACCUAUGGAUCAGCCGGACACCACGACCUCCAUCCCUAGCCGCCCGCCAUCACCCCGUCCCCUAGCAGCCAUGUACAGCGGGACGACCACACACGCCUUACCUAGGUGGGUCUCGGCCUCCCUCCUCCCUUCGUCCAAGGCAAGGAGUUCCCUUCCCAACCCGAUCUGAUGGAGAGAGGGCCAAGCCUUGCCGGUCCGGUGUUCGUUGUGGCCAGAUCCGGCCGUGGGAGCCACCGUAGAGCCGCCACGUCGGCGGAGCAGAGCAGCUCGACAGAGGUGGGUGCCUGGUCUCGUCCAGCAGAUCACCGUCGGUGGUCACGACCACGUCAUUCCCUGUCACGUGUCCCCUUCAACCACAGUGGUGCUCCUCCCCGCGUCGCCGUCGUUGGUGGAGCUCGCCUCACUCUCCUCACUCCGUCGGCUGCAACCACUCUUUACCUCCUCGGUGCUCCUCUUCGGCAUCCACCACAGGCCAGUGAACGGCGACGACCAGGAGGCCUCUACCUCGACUGCAACCGGUCGUGGUCGUCUCGCUUCUCCGUGCCGCGGCCCCAUACAAUCGCGCCGCCGCUUCGCAUCCCUCUCAAUGAAGAGGGCUACAAGAGUGGGAAGAACGCUGGCCGCUGGGCCUCCAAGCGCGAAGACACAGGAGGAGAAGCUCGUGGAGGUGGCGGAAAUCUCACAAUCGCAUCUCCCGUCUCUCUCCCAUCCAAGUCAGGCGACGAAGACCGGCGGCUGCGACCACGCCCCACCACCGUGCCUGUUUCUCCGGCUAUCUCCCCUUCCUCUCUCCGCUUGUCUAUCCUUGAAUUUUGAAUUUUGCUGUCAGUGGUGACCACUACAUCAUCAUCAUCGAUGGAGAUGCUAUUGAUGUCGAUGAACAUGGCUAUGUAGAAGGUUAAGUCAUCAUGGAUAAAUAUGUCGAUGAACAUGGCUAUGUAGAAGGUUAAGUCAUCAUGGAUAAAUGGGGUACAUCACGUGAUGCUACUGCAACUGCUUUGGAAGAUCAAAUGAAUGAGCCUGAGCAAUACAUCAGUGUAGCAAGCAAGGACAUGGAUGGUAUUCAUGUUGAGGGGAAGAUGUUGGAGCAAAGGACCUGCGACACGAUCGGAUUUCAUUGCUGAAAAUCACAAGGAUGUGUUGGAGUGUGCCUGCCAUGAAUGGGGUGCACCUGAGUAUGAUCUUGCCUUGGACAUGAUAGCUUAUCAAGGUGCUAGAUAAAUUAUGUCUUCUAAGGCGGUCCCAGCCUUGCUUUGCAAUCCUGUAAUCCUGCUAUUCUCUCUGAACCUUUGCUUCUCUUCUUUUGUUUUAGUUCUUAGAGUGUCAGAUCAUUUUUUUACUUUAAUUGUGCCUGCAGUUUACCUUCUUUUAUUGAGUGAAUCUGGUUCUAAUUGUUUGGUCAAUUUGUUAAUUCAGUUAUGGUUGAAAAAUGCAAAAAGAUUAGUGUCCUGUUUAUUGUGUUCCUGUGUGAACUUGUUCUGAACCUUACGUGCUGCUGUUUUACUUUUCAGUUUUGUCAGAGUUAUGUUUUGGUUGGCUGAUAGCUUGCAAGAUCUUCAUAUUCUACUAUUUGCUUCUUUUGGUUUGUGUAGUCCACAUAGAAGGCCAUCAUCUAGAAAGGUAAGCAUUUGAGGCAUGUCCGGAUUCAUGUAGCUUAGUUUCAAGGAAAAGUGGAUAAAGGUGUAGCGAAGACCAAUUAAAUAGAGCAAAUAAAAUCACAUGGAUUUAGAAAUUAGAUCAUUGUGGAGCUCAAUCAAAAGGUGAGAUUGAUUAUUUCGACCCUUUAGAUUCGGUCAAAUCAUAGGUUUAUUGAAACGACUAAUUAGAUUGUUAAUUUUAGAAUGAAUUUCUUCCUCAAAUUUGGCUAUCCUACUAGUCCUUUCCAAAUCCUUAUAUAUUGUAUGCAGGAACUGAAGAUAUGUAGCUGAACACACAGCUGGAUCCUCUUAUUGUUUAUUGUCCAUAAAGUGUCUUAUGCAAGUACCCCAUUAAUUCCAUUAUUAUUUGCAGGAAGCGACGAAUUAAAACUUGCUGGAUUAUGGCUCUUUCCUCGUGAAGAGUAUUUCGGGAAGUAUGACCUCAAAUCUCUCAGGUUCAUCGGCUUAGGUGUCCUGCCCGCUUGGAAGGGAUGUGUUGAAGAUGGUGCACAUGAAUUUUCCUGAUGAUGUGAUUGUUCAGGUACCUUGCAGAGCUUAAGAUUGGUGCGGAGAGGAAAGAAGUUGCCGAGAGCACCAUGAACGCGUACAAAGCUGAUGCUCUGGUUACUGGCAAGGCAAUUUUUAAGUGUACAUAUAGACAUGACGAGUAGAUCCUUCGGGCUGAGUUUUGCGCAUUUUUUGCAGGACAUCAGCCCUUGCAGAUUUGGCUCUGACUCAUCCCAUCAGGCUUGGGCUUGCGCUCAACUUUUCUGGGUUCUACUAUGAGACCUCGAACUCCCCUGACCAAGCCUGCAACCUUGCAAAACAGAUAGAGGAGGAUAAAGAAAUGGUAUCUAGGAUUGUGUAGAACGUAGAUACAACCAUUGUAUUAAGGGUUUGGCUAGCUAUUUCUAUUUGGAAGCAAUUCCUUCAUGAACAGAUGAUUACAUAAAAAGUAAUCACAUCCGAGUGCUAUACUAACAUUGAUCUACCUUCUUGGCUCGGGGGUGUCACGGGCUACGCACGCCUCCCCCCUUGAUGGCGGUGUCAAAUUAGUACAAACACGUGGGGAGUGAAUCAUGGCGGAAAGCAAGGCGGUUGGCGAGGGACUUCUCCUUGGCGGUCUGUGGGGAAGUACAAUGUGAAAUAGAGGGCGCCAUGGCGAAGGUGAGGUGGGUGUCAUCCAGUUUUAAAGAAGAGGGCUCAAACAAGAAAUGUCAUGUUACAUCAAGAAACCAAGUAUGAAGGAGAGGGCCCGGCAGAAAAAUGGAAGAGUGCGUCAUGGGGUGGUGCUUUUGUGUUGGACAUGGCUGUUGAACAUAACAUGAUGGAUAUUUCGAUAACCAUAUUUCUCCCCCACAGGUUUUGGAUUUGGGGUGCCCAGACAGUUGAAUUUUUGGUAGCCUAUUGGGUGCCCGUUUAAUGUCGAACAGUACUCAAAUUUACGAGGGAGAAAUAAAGCUUCAACCGUAGACGACCUUA